rnacentral:rRNA from 1 species
GAUGAACGCUGGCGGCGUGCCUAAUACAUGCAAGUCGAGCGAACAGACGAGGAGCUUGCUCCUCUGACGUUAGCGGCGGACGGGUGAGUAACACGUGGAUAACCUACCUAUAAGACUGGGAUAACUUCGGGAAACCGGAGCUAAUACCGGAUAAUAUAUUGAACCGCAUGGUUCAAUAGUGAAAGACGGUUUUGCUGUCACUUAUAGAUGGAUCCGCGCCGCAUUAGCUAGUUGGUAAGGUAACGGCUUACCAAGGCAACGAUGCGUAGCCGACCUGAGAGGGGGAACGGCAACAGAGAAACUGAGACGCGGUCCAGACAAGGAGGGGAGGCCGCAGCAGGGAAGGUGCGGAAAUGGGGGAAAGCCUGAAGGAGCAACGCAGAGUGAGUGAUGAAGUGCUUCGGAUCGUAAAACGCUGUUAUUAGGGAAGAACAAAUGUGUAAGUAACUAUGCACGUCUUGACGGUACCUAAACAGAAAGCCACGGCUAACUACGG